rnacentral:lncRNA from 1 species
CUGUGCUUGUUGUUUGUUAGCUGUAUUGUUUGAAGAGAGGUGGGCAGAGAUUGAAGUUCAUGUACAGCUAUUCUUGGUAUGGAAUGUGAAAAUUAUUUCCCUUGAUCCAUGAUCUAUGAAGGUGGCAACUGUAUAGCUAACCUUUUGCAAAGAGAGAGAUGAGGGAAUAGAAGGUUCAGGGGUUGAUUGGAUAGCCAAGUAUCUGUCU